AUGGAUUGUUGCUGGACGGCUGAGCGCCGCGCUCGCCACGGAUUGCCUCACGAUCCCCUCUGCAAGCUAUGCGGCCAAGAGCUCGUGUCCCUGGAUCACCUGCUUGCCCGGUGCGUCUUCUCCAGGAUUACUUGGCAUGAAAUCCUCUCAUGGUGCCGUCUACCAAUCCCUACGCCGUGUUCCACCGACGCCUUCUUCGAAUGGUGGUGCAAAACCAACAACACUGCCCCGGCCUCGUAUCGCAAGGGGAUUAAAUCGCUCAUCGCGCUCACCGCCUGGUCCAUUUGGAAGCAUCGCAACACCGCUAACUUCGACAAUGCCCGGCCCUGUAACGAUGAUCUUGCUCGCACAAUCAAAGAUGAGGCCCGCCUGUGGGCACGUGCUGGAGCAACUAAGUUAGCAUCCAUCAUUCCUGUAACCUAAGACUUAUUAUAG
rnacentral:rRNA from 1 species